GUAUUAUACAUGUUUGCUACUUUGCUUCAUGCAGGAUUAACAGACUCUGCGAGUUGUCUUUCUUUAAUAAGGUUAGAGUAUCUGGUAUCCCAGAUUAUCUCCAAUUUCUUGGCUGUGAUUGCAGACAUCUUGGAGAUGACAUAGUUCAUAAGAGUUCUGCAGCAGGAAUUAAAUGGCGUUGAGAAGGACAAGGAUGCGUUCAUUGAAGACUUUUCUAAGGUGA